rnacentral:rRNA from 1 species
UACGUAGGGGGCAAGCGUUGUCCGGAAUCAUUGGGCGUAAAGCGCGCGUAGGCGGCCCGAUCAGUCCGCUGUAAAAGUCCAGGGCUCAACCCUGGAAAGCCGGUGGAUACUGUCGGGCUAGAGUCCGGAAGAGGCGAGUGGAAUUCCUGGUGUAGCGGUGGAAUGACGCAGAUAUCAGGAGGAACACCGAUAGCGAAGGCAGCUCGCUGGGACGGUACUGACGCUGAGGUGCGAAAGCGUGGGGAGCGAACAGG